rnacentral:lncRNA from 1 species
GAAGAUAAAAGUUGGUCAAAUACUACCAGGAGUACCAUCUUUCUAAUCUCAAACAUGGGAUACGAGACAUUAAGCAUUUUAUAGAACAGUUCACAUAUAGACAUUACUACUGACUAAAAGUUCAGCCAAACAUGACGAAAGAAAACCUCUCAGGCUCACCCAUAAAUACGCAUACUGUACAUAAUGGUUGCUAACCUAAAAGAUACCACACCAACU